GCAUUCGCUUCGGCAGCACGUGUACUAAAAUUGGAACAACACAGAGAAGAUGAGCGCGGCCCUUGCGCAAGGAUGACAUGCAAAUUCAUGAAGUGGUCCAGAGCUUC